CUGACUGGCUCCUGGGCUGGAGCAGUCACCCACUGCACCAGGACCAAAAUCCCAGCAUCAUGUGUAACCUGGAGCAGGCGUUUACCCUCUGUGAGCCUCAGUUUCCCUCUCUGCAGGAAGAGAGAAUGAGCAAGGGAGCAGAUGCUCUACGACCCCUUCCAGCUUGGGCAAACUCUAAUUCCUGGAAUGAAACUUGGUUGAGAGCAAAUUGCAAACUCUUGAAGGCAGCACUUACUGACGGUGCUGCAUGCUGCUCCUUGGCUGUGCAAUUUCCUCCUGCUGCAGGAAUGGGCCAUGAAAAGAGAAGAGCCUCCUGUUGCUCACUUUAUAGCCCCCCAUUCAGCAGUGCUUGCUUCUAAUAGACUGACAACUACAUAGAGGCAAGUUGUGGUUUGGGGGAAAGCUUUGCCAGCUUAAUUUCCCCCCUUUCCUGCUUCUUCCUAUUUUCCCUCAUUUCUCCCCCUAGUCUUUGCCUUACCAGACUCAGAUUUUCAAACCUGUUGUCAAGGCAACACUAGGUUUCUCUCUUUGCACUCUGAUGUCUCAAUGGGGGUAUCCAUAGCAACAAGAAUACCUUGCAUUUUCAAAGUCAGUGACCUCCCAAAGCUUCGUGGGACGUGUGGAGAUAAAUUAGGGUUAGACCUACUUUUUACCACAGCAACCAGUUUAGUGCCUAGCAAACCUAACCAAUGACAUCUGUAGCAGUUAGUGUUUGCUGCGUAACAAACAACCCUACAACUUGGUGGCUUGAAGCAUCAGGCAUUUGUCAUUGCUCUAAAGGGUUCCCCAUCCUUCAAUGAACCUAGGCUUUUUCACAAGGACACAGCAGGCUUUUGAGGUGGAAGGAGACACAGAGGGAGAGACCAGAAGCCUACAAAAACUCCCGAGGCCUAGGUUUGGAACUGGCAUGAGAUCACUUCCAUCACACUCCAUUGGCCAAAGCAAGACUUAAUCCAGGCCAGACUCAAGGGGCAUCUUAGCUAUAGUGUGGCUUCCAUCUGUGCACAUUAUCAGUUUGCUUGAUCCACAUGGGCAAAGAAUAGUAUGUCCCAGCAGAAAAGAGAGAUCCCGCCCUCAGAAAACAGACGUGAGUGCUGAACAGCCAAAAUCAACAGGUGACUGUGGCAGACCCCAACCAGCCACCCGCAGCCAAGAGGUAUACUUCACGUUUUAUAAUAACAGUUGUGAAGUCUCCACAUUUGUGAAUGACGUUGUGACUGUAGAACAGCCAAGAUACUUAUCUCCCAAGUUCCUACCUUGGCCCUGACCACAUCCCCAGCAAAGUGUUUCCUGCACAGAAAAGGCUGUCGACAGCAGCCAGAUGAAUGAAAUCUACUUAAAAAUGCUCCUUUACCUUUCUAACAAGUGGUCCUUGAACCUGUAACUCUGGGUAAUCCAGGUUCCCCACACUGAGUUUCCUUGAAGUGCCCCAAGAGUGGGCAGUCCACUUCUCAGGCUACAGGGAGAAAGCCUGAGCCCCGAGACCGACCUUCGGCCCAUACAAGAGUGCUGCCGUUAAUCACCUUCUCGGUAUUUCUCAACAUACUGUUCUCUACGUGCCAACACGUUGGGUUAAAAUCAUCGUUGAAAGGCAUCGCUGUCAGAGACCAGGCUGGGAUCAGGGCUGGCCGGAUGGGAAGCCUCUCCAAGCCCCCUUCUCAUCGCCCAUGUCAUAAAUAUUUUAGUGUGUGCUUCUUGUUUUACUCAAUGUCCUCUAGACUGAAGAGGGGUCCAAAUCCCGCACUUGGCAACGUAAUGACUUUCAACAAGCCCGUGAUCCACUUCCCCUUUCAUCCGUCGGUGGCAUCUGCCCCCACAGAGAGCUGGCACUCCAGCAUCGAGAAGAUCCAACAUGACUGUUCUUCCGGCUAGAACAGAAAGCCUCUUAUCAGUCCCCUGAAGUUGGCUUGAGGACCCUCUUCAUGCAGAUUGCAUCUGAGCACCAACUCGGAAAGCCUCAUGCCACAUGGAUGCCCAACAUCCUCCGAGGAUGUUCCGGAAGGAAAGUAACUUCUCUGGAACGUGGCCCAGAGCUAUGCCCACUUACGGGCACUUAGCGGCCGGCUCAGGAUGAUCUUUCCUGGGUUGCAGAAGCCCUGAGAUGACCUCAGAGGGGCUCGUGUCGCAGGAAGUAGCAUAUCUUGACAUUUCACACCCUUUCUCACAAGGGCAGGACUUCAGAGGGAGAACGGGCCCUUGAGUGUGCAGAUAACAAUGAGAUCUCUGCUCCUGGCAAGAAGUCACGUCCCCUCCGCGUCCUCUGGGAAGUGGAGAACAGAACAGGAGCAGAGGUCAUCCACUGUAAUAACCCCCAGAGUGAAGACCGGCGGGGGCCUGGGGGUGGUGUUAGGGCAAGAGGACAAGAGGACGCUAGCCCUUUGUGCAGACUCUCGCAAACCUCUCAGCCGUUCGUAAGAAAGAUCUUGACCCCCUGCCACUCAGCAGAGGAAACCUUGAAAAGAUGCCCCCUCCCCAGUCAAGACUUUCACCAAUCAUCUGCUUCUGGAAGGCACUCAAGCCUACUCUAGCUUUUUUUCCCCACAAGUAAAUGAAUUUAAAAGAUUGCAGGUGCAUUAUCUCUACUAACAACAAAGACUUGGGUUUUUAUCUGUUGUCAAGGCAACACUAGCAGUUUUCCCCCCUGGCUUCUUCAUGCCUAGAUUUAUGUUUCCAUAGUUACAAGAAACCCCUAGGUCUUCAAGGUAACAUGAACUGGUCUACUAAAACUUUCAGGGGUGGGAUUGCAGCUAAUGGCAAAAACCGUGCCCGUAGGUGCAUCUGUGUCUACGUGCUCAGCCUCACCAAGGGGCUGGACCUCAGCACCUCUCUCUGUUCUUCCUUGUCCUGUGCAUCUCGAAGUGGCUCCCUUCUUGACCUGUGGGGUCAGCGCAGGAAUCUGAAAAGUUAAAAGUUCAUGUGGACCCCAGAAAUGGAGAUCCCUCAAACCACCAGACUGAAUUUGUUAGACCCACUGCUGCCAAACCCACCGUGAAGAGCUCUGCAAAGUAAGAGUUACCCUUUGGGGCUGGACACAACAGUGGCCUGAGGACAGGGCAAUUGGAGAAGCUCUGAGUGUCUGGAGCUGCAGAGGCACCUCGCCCCAAGAUCUAUAACAUCAUUUUCUAGGACCCACGAUUUACCGUCUCCUCAGGAUUAACUCACAUGGAACUGACCUUCCGGAUGUUUGUACAACUGGGCCCACGGUGUCUUGUUUAAGCCACUGGAUUGAUAAAUCAUUUCUUUACAUCA